rnacentral:rRNA from 1 species
UACGGGGGGUGCGAGCGUUGUCCGGAAUCACUGGGCGUAAAGGGCGCGUAGGUGGUCUGAUAAGGGUGUGGUGAAAGCCCGGGGCUCAACCCCGGGUCGGCCGUGCCGACUGUUGGACUAGAGUGCUGUAGGGGCAGGCGGAAUUCCACGUGUAGCAGUGAAAUGCGUAGAGAUGUGGAGGAACACCGAUGGCGAAGGCAGCCUCCUGGGCCAGCACUGACGCUCAUGCACGAAAGCGUGGGGAGCAAACAGG